rnacentral:lncRNA from 1 species
GGGACAAGCACGAUUAAAGCAAAAGCUAGUACUCAUAGGGGAAAGGUCCCAGUCCUUCAAGGAAUUACAUGGAUGCUCUUCCUCCCAUUCUCUUUCCUCAACCCACGUACCCCGUCUCGCUGUCUACACCUUUGACCACUUCAGCUGGACCCUCCGGUUUUCAUUCUAAAAGUUGAUAUAAAAACACUAGUAAUUCUUCAAAACAGUUUUGAAGUAUGCCUGUACUAAGAAGUUUACUUGGGUGUAAAAUCACUGUUAAUUCAAAGGAAACUGGAAAGAUGGCAGAUCAAUAAGCAACAAAGCAAAAAGCCUCUCUGAGAGAAACAGCUCAGAUGCUGGAAUAAAACAUCCUGGAAAAGACCAGACACAGGAGAUGGAUCCUCUCGACCCAGGAAGAAACUAAAGGGGAAAAAGAAAAGAAAAGAAAAACAGGGGCUGGGGAUUUAGCUCAGCGGCAUAAGUGCCUGCCUUGCAAGCAGGCAGUUGUGAGUUCGAUCCCUGGUACUGAUAAAAAGGAAAAAGACACACACAC